AGUGAACGCUGGCGGUAGGCCUAACACAUGCAAGUCGAACGGCAGCACAGUAAGAGCUUGCUCUUACGGGUGGCGAGUGGCGGACGGGUGAGGAAUACAUCGGAAUCUACUUUUUCGUGGGGGAUAACGUAGGGAAACUUACGCUAAUACCGCAUACGACCUACGGGUGAAAGCAGGGGAUCUUCGGACCUUGCGCGAUUGAAUGAGCCGAUGUCGGAUUAGCUAGUUGGCGGGGUAAAGGCCCACCAAGGCGACGAUCCGUAGCUGGUCUGAGAGGAUAAUCAGCCACACUGGAACUGAGACACGGUCCAGACUCCUACGGGAGGCAGCAGUGGGGAAUAUUGGACAAUGGGCGCAAGCCUGAUCCAGCCAUACCGCGUGGGUGAAGAAGGCCUUCGGGUUGUAAAGCCCUUUUGUUGGGAAAGAAAAGCAGCAGGUUAAUACCCCGCUGUUCUGACGGUACCCAAAGAAUAAGCACCGGCUAACUUCGU
rnacentral:rRNA from 1 species